rnacentral:rRNA from 1 species
AGUGAACGCUGGCGGUAGGCCUAACACAUGCAAGUCGAACGGCAGCACAGUAAGAGCUUGCUCUUACGGGUGGCGAGUGGCGGACGGGUGAGGAAUACAUCGGAAUCUACUUUUUCGUGGGGGAUAACGUAGGGAAACUUACGCUAAUACCGCAUACGACCUACCGGUGAAAGCAGGGGAUCUUCGGACCUUGCGCGAUUGAAUGAGCCGAUGUCGGAUUAGCUAGUUGGCGGGGUAAAGGCCCACCAAGGCGACGAUCCGUAGCUGGUCUGAGAGGAUGGUCGGCGACACUGGAACGGGAACACGGUCCAGACUCCUGCGAGAGGCAGCAGUGGGGAAUAUUGGACAAUGGGCGCAAGCCUGAUCCAGCCAUACCGCGUGGGUGAAGAAGGCCUUCGGGUUGUAAAGCCCUUUUGUUGGGAAAGAAAAGCAGCAGGUUAAUACCCCGCUGUUCUGACGGUACCCAAAGAAUAAGCACCGGCUAACUUCGUG